AGCGAACGCUGGCGGCAGGCCUAACACAUGCAAGUCGAACGGACCCUUCGGGCUUAUUGGCGGUCGUGUGGGUAACACGGGGUAACUUGCCUUUAGGUUCGGUAUACCUCCUGGAAACGUGUGUUAAUGCCGAAUGUGCCCUUCGCGGGAAAGAGUUUUGGCCUUUAGAGCGGCCCGCGUCAGAUUAGCUGGUUGGUGAGGUAACGGCACAGCAACGCGACGAUCAGUAGCUGGUCUGAGAGGAUGACCAGUCACACUGGGACUGCGACACGGACCAGACUGCUACGGGAGGCAGGAGUGGGGUGUAUUGCGCAAUGGGGGAAAGCGUGACGAAGCCAUGCCGGGUGAAUGAUGAAGGUCUUAGGAUUGUAAAUUUCUUUGACCGGGGACGAUAAUGACGGUACCGGGAGAAGAAGCACCGGCUAACUUCGUG
rnacentral:rRNA from 1 species